UGACUGCGUACCUUUUGUAUAAUGGGUCAGCGACUUAUAUUCUGUAGCAAGGUUAACCGUAUAGGGGAGCCGGAGGGAAACCGAGUCUUAACCGGGCGUUAAGUUGCAGGGUAUAGACCCGAAACCCGGUGAUCUAGCCAUGGGCAGGUUGAAGGUUGGGUAACACUAACUGGAGGACCGAACCGACUAAUGUUGAAAAAUUAGCGGAUGACCUGUGGCUGGGGGUGAAAGGCCAAUCAAACCGGGAGAUAGCUGGUUCUCCCCGAAAGCUAUUUAGGUAGCGCCUCGUGAAUUCAUCUCCGGGGGUAGAGCACUGUUUCGGCUAGGGGGCCAUCCCGGCUUACCAACCCGAUGCAAACUGCGAAUACCGGAGAAUGUUAUCACGGGAGACACACGGCGGGUGCUAACGUCCGUCGUGAAGAGGGAAACAACCCAGACCGCCAGCUAAGGUCCCAAAGUCAUGGUUAAGUGGGAAACGAUGUGGGAAGGCCCAGACAGCCAGGAUGUUGGCUUAGAAGCAGCCAUCAUUUAAAGAAAGCGUAAUAGCUCACUGGUCGAGUCGGCCUGCGCGGAAGAUGUAACGGGGCUAAACCAUGCACCGAAGCUGCGGCAGCGACACUGUGUGUUGUUGGGUAGGGGAGCGUUCUGUAAGCCUGUGAAGGUGGCCUGUGAGGGUUGCUGGAGGUAUCAGAAGUGCGAAUGCUGACAUAAGUAACGAUAAAGCGGGUGAAAAGCCCGCUCGCCGGAAGACCAAGGGUUCCUGUCCAACGUUAAUCGGGGCAGGGUGAGUCGACCCCUAAGGCGAGGCCGAAAGGCGUAGUCGAUGGGAAACGGGUUAAUAUUCCCGUACUUGGUGUUACUGCGAAGGGGGGACGGAGAAGGCUAUGUUGGCCGGGCGACGGUUGUCCCGGUUUAAGCGUGUAGGUGUGUGUUCCAGGUAAAUCCGGUUCACUUUAACACUGAGGCGUGACGACGAGGCACUACGGUGCUGAAGCAACAAAUGCCCUGCUUCCAGGAAAAGCCUCUAAGCAUCAGGUAACAUCAAAUCGUACCCCAAACCGACACAGGUGGUCAGGUAGAGAAUACCAAGGCGCUUGAGAGAACUCGGGUGAAGGAACUAGGCAAAAUGGUGCCGUAACUUCGGGAGAAGGCACGCUGACACGUAGGUGAAGUGAUUUACUCAUGGAGCUGAAGUCAGUCGAAGAUACCAGCUGGCUGCAACUGUUUAUUAAAAACACAGCACUGUGCAAACACGAAAGUGGACGUAUACGGUGUGACGCCUGCCCGGUGCCGGAAGGUUAAUUGAUGGGGUCAGCGCAAGCGAAGCUCCUGAUCGAAGCCCCGGUAAACGGCGGCCGUAACUAUAACGGUCCUAAGGUAGCGAAAUUCCUUGUCGGGUAAGUUCCGACCUGCACGAAUGGCGUAAUGAUGGCCAGGCUGUCUCCACCCGAGACUCAGUGAAAUUGAACUCGCUGUGAAGAUGCAGUGUACCCGCGGCAAGACGGAAAGACCCCGUGAACCUUUACUAUAGCUUGACACUGAACAUUGAGCCUUGAUGUGUAGGAUAGGUGGGAGGCUUUGAAGUGUGGACGCCAGUCUGCAUGGAGCCGACCUUGAAAUACCACCCUUUAAUGUUUGAUGUUCUAACGUGGACCCGUAAUCCGGGUUGCGGACAGUGUCUGGUGGGUAGUUUGACUGGGGCGGUCUCCUCCUAAAGAGUAACGGAGGAGCACGAAGGUUGGCUAAUCCUGGUCGGACAUCAGGAGGUUAGUGCAAUGGCAUAAGCCAGCUUGACUGCGAGCGUGACGGCGCGAGCAGGUGCGAAAGCAGGUCAUAGUGAUCCGGUGGUUCUGAAUGGAAGGGCCAUCGCUCAACGGAUAAAAGGUACUCCGGGGAUAACAGGCUGAUACCGCCCAAGAGUUCAUAUCGACGGCGGUGUUUGGCACCUCGAUGUCGGCUCAUCACAUCCUGGGGCUGAAGUAGGUCCCAAGGGUAUGGCUGUUCGCCAUUUAAAGUGGUACGCGAGCUGGGUUUAGAACGUCGUGAGACAGUUCGGUCCCUAUCUGCCGUGGGCGCUGGAGAACUGAGGGGGGCUGCUCCUAGUACGAGAGGACCGGAGUGGACGCAUCACUGGUGUUCGGGUUGUCAUGCCAAUGGCACUGCCCGGUAGCUAAAUGCGGAAGAGAUAAGUGCUGAAAGCAUCUAAGCACGAAACUUGCCCCGAGAUGAGUUCU
rnacentral:rRNA from 1 species